rnacentral:rRNA from 1 species
AUUGAACGCUGGCGGCAGGUCUAACACAUGCAAGUCGAACGAGUGGCGGACGGGUGAGUAAUGUCUGGGAAACUGCCCGAUGGAGGGGGAUAACUACUGGAAACGGUAGCUAAUACCGCAUACCAUCGGAUGUGCCCAGAUGGGAUUAGCUAGUAGGUGGGGUAACGGCUCACCUAGGCGACGAUCCCUAGCUGGUCUGAGAGGAUGACCAGCCACACUGGAACUGAGACACGGUCCAGACUCCUACGGGAGGCAGCAGUGGGGAAUAUUGCACAAUGGGCGCAAGCCUGAUGCAGCCAUGCCGCGUGUGUGAAGAAGGCCUUCGGGUUGUAAAGCACUUUCAGCGAGGAGGCGUUACUCGCAGAAGAAGCACCGGCUAACUCCGUGCCAGCAGCCGCGGUAAUAC